rnacentral:rRNA from 1 species
UGGAAGUAAAAAAGUCGUAACAAGGUCUCCGUUGGUGAACCAGCGGAGGGAUCAUUACCGAGUUUACAACUCCCAAACCCAAUGUGAACGUUACCAAACUGUUGCCUCGGCGGGAUCUCUGCCCCGGGUGCGUCGCAGCCCCGGACCAAGGCGCCCGCCGGAGGACCAACCAAAACUCUUAUUGUAUACCCCCUCGCGGGUUUUUUACUAUCUGAGCCAUCUCGGCGCCCCUCGUGGGCGUUUCGAAAAUGAAUCAAAACUUUCAACAACGGAUCUCUUGGUUCUGGCAUCGAUGAAGAACGCAGCGAAAUGCGAUAAGUAAUGUGAAUUGCAGAAUUCAGUGAAUCAUCGAAUCUUUGAACGCACAUUGCGCCCGCCAGUAUUCUGGCGGGCAUGCCUGUCCGAGCGUCAUUUCAACCCUCGAACCCCUCCGGGGGGUCGGCGUUGGGGAUCGGCCCUUUACGGGGCCGGCCCCGAAAUACAGUGGCGGUCUCGCCGCAGCCUCUCCUGCGCAGUAGUUUGCACACUCGCAUCGGGAGCGCGGCGCGUCCACAGCCGUUAAACACCCCAAACUUCUGAAAUGUUGACCUCGGAU